CACGGACCGCGAGAUCAUGACCUGAGCCGAAGUCGAACGCUCAACCGACUGAGCCACCCAGGUGCCCCAUGACACCACUGGAGUAUUUUAGUGAGCCUGCUGGACUGAAGACAUUUCCCCUGGCGAAAAAAUUAGACAGAGGUGGCCCUACACUUAUGCUCCAAGGUGUUAUGACGUCAUCCAAAAGAGUCUCCUUCUGUCCACCAAGUCAGAAACAUCAGUACGGUGUCAGCAUAACUUAUGUGGCCAACACGUGAACUCAUGCCAGAGUCCAGGCCACAAGAAGCCCUCGUCGGUGGGGACCGUUGAGCACAAAGGGUCUUUGCUGGCAUGCAUCCUGGUCUACCCUGAAGACUCUGAGAACCCCUUGGGCAUCACUAAGAAGCACGGGCAUAGGGCUUGGAGCCAGGGCCAUUGUGAGCAUGUUUUGAUACCCUGGAUUAUUUCUAUGGCAAUGAAGACAGAAAGACUACUGGAGACGAAAGACAAUUCCCUGUUCCAGCCUUGGGGAAAACAAAACAAACACCUGAAGAAAGGCAACAGGAAAAGUACAAAUGUCCCCCAACCCCCAUACAAGAUUAGCCCAUGUUAUCAGCGGAGACAAGGCGUGUUAAGGAAAGAUAGUGCCCGAGCCAGCAUGGAGGCUAAUCUCUCCAGGAAUUAAAGCUUCAUUAACUUGCUUUCAGCAUUUCUCAGCAAGAACCCACAGAUUUUGAACUCUGACCAUUUGAAUACUAUUUCUUCAGAUCUUUAAGGAAGAAAAAAGAAAAAAAAAGCCAACACAAUGUGUCUCACAGUGAUUGAUUGAUAAGGAAGUCAUGAUGCUUGACUGCUAUUUGGGUCUUGUCACUUACUGGUAACGUCCUUCCUUCUUCACUCCGAGUCUGGCCAUAUCCACACUUAGGACAGAGACACUUUCUUCUUUUCCCAUCUCUCCAUGAGUGCCCCCCUUCUCUUUCCAGUAUUUGCUUUUUGAAGGGGGUCAGUGGUGAAGGAAGGGUUGGCCAGGAAGCACUGCUCUUUCUCCUUUCAGAUUCUCCCAUCUGGGCUCACUGCCUCCCAGGAACGGGCCAUCACGUCCCUGAUGGAGGCGGAGGAGUGCCUUGUCCCUCUGUCUGGGGGCACUGCCAUCUUCUGAGACAGGACUGUUGGGCGCCACAGGAAAGAAGGCAGACGCCAGAGGAUCCUGGGAGGCACCAAGCCCCUCCCAAAGUGAAAGCGAGUUUCCUGGAGUGUGUGUGUGUGUGUGUGUGUGUGUGGUAUUCUGGGGAGGAGUGAGGUCAGAUAAGGACCACAGAGGAGCAGAAACCAGUCUUUGCACACCCACCUCCUUUCAGAGACUUCUGUGGCCAGGCCCUUUAGCUCAUGGGUCCCGAUGCCGGGGUCCCACCCAAGCCUUGAAAAAAAUGCCUGCAAUUGCACCGGGCACACAGCAGAAAGAGCCUGGAAUUCAGAAUUGGGGAAACCCAGAUUCCAGCUCCAUGUUUCCUUCUGUGCGUGUUAAGGCUUCAGGGAGGGGGGUACCUCUAGGGGCACAGGGUUAGUGAGCGUUGAGUCCACACAGGCAGGACCAGCUUCCAUGGGACUACCUUGUGGGGACUCCUGGCUAUGGCAGUGCCUGGAGCAUGUUUGGGGUCUGUGAGAGGGGGCGAUGGUAUAAAGGGGAGAAGACUGAAGGCAUUUCCUGUUCAGUGAAAAGUACAGCUCAGUUAUCCAGCCUGAAGCAAGGGCCACUGUUAGCGCGUUCCUCCCCCCAGUUGGAGGGGAGGGGCUUAUACUCAUGUUCUGUUGUGAACAAAUUACCACCAACAGUGGCUGGAAACAACACACGGCUUUCAUCUCAUAGUGUUUGGGGAUCAGGCUUCCAGAUGUGGCUUAGGGUCUCCCCAGGCUGGGAUCAAGGUGUCCAGAGAGGCUGUGACCUCACCUGGGACUCAGGGUCUCCUUCCAGGCUCUAUGGCUGUUAGCAGAUUCCAAUUCCUUGCAGUGGAGGACCGAGGUCCUGUUUUCUUGUUGACUGCUGACAGGGGUCACUGUCAGCUUCUGGAGGUCACCCCCGGGUCCUAGCCAGUGAUCAUCUCACCCACAACAUGGAUGCUUAAAGCCAGCAGGAGAAUGGCUCCUUAGCCACAGGAGCCUUAUACAAUGCAACACAUGUAAUGUGACCGAAUCCAGGGAGCCAGCCAGCAGAGAAGUCAUCUCUUCUUUAAAGACCUCCUUUACAAGGGCGACCUCCUCCUGGGACGCCUGGAUGGCUCCGUCAGUUGUGGGUCUGACUCCUGAUUUCCGCUCAGGUCACGA